UACGGGGGGGGCAAGCGUUGUUCGGAAUUACUGGGCGUAAAGGGCGCGUAGGCGGCACUGUUAGUCAGGCGUGAAAGUCCUGGGCUCAACCUGGGAACUGCGCUUGAUACGGCAGAGCUAGAGGAUGGAAGAGGGUCGCGGAAUUCCCAGUGUAGAGGUGAAAUUCGUAGAUAUUGGGAAGAACACCGGUGGCGAAGGCGGCUCACUGGCUCAUUACUGACGCUCAGGCGCGAUAGCGUGGGGAUCAAACAGG
rnacentral:rRNA from 1 species